AUUCACAGGUGGCAGACCAUUAUGACCCAUGUCAGUCUUUGAGAGGUGUGUUUUUUCUUAUUCCUUUCUUCCAUUUCAUGACUGUUGCAACAAUGUAUUUGGAUAUGGGGGUAUCUCUUGUGAACAUUUUAACCCAUCAGGUACAUAGAAGACGGCUUCAAGGCACAAAGCUUCUCAGUCGUAAGACAUUUUGAUUAUGUAUGUUCCACAAUAAAGCCCAUGUGAUUUAGGAUUAACGUAGGAAGACAUUUAGAAGUUGUGUAUGUGGAAGGAAAGGCCUGUGUGUCUAUUGCUUUACUCGACAGAUGUCGCAGCCUUGUCUUGUGGAAAAGUGAAUCUUGGGCAACAGGGUUUUCAGCAGGUGUAAGGUAAGCAAAAUGAUCUUGCUUGAAUGGUUUCAGGAUCCACAAAGAUUGAGAGGAGCAGCAAAGAAAGUGAAGAAAAAAGUUUGUACCAUCUUAUGCCUUCUCUAUCAGAUCCCUUCAAGACACAAAAUAUCGGACCUUUGCUGCCUAGGAAGACCUUGAUUAUAGUUGUUACCUUUGAACCUUGAGACUCGUCAAUCAUUGAGACGCAAAGGGUUUGGACAGAAAACACUGCUAAUUUGAAAUGUAUAGGGUGAAGGGAAAGUUGUCUCUCUGCUUUGUGUUUCACAGGUGGCAGACCAUUAUGACCCGAGUCAGUCUUCGAGAGGUGUGUUUUUUUUCUUAUUGCUUUCAUUACUGUUGCAACAAUGUAUUUGGAUAUGGUGGUAUCUCUUGUGAACAUUUUAACCCAUCAGGUACAUAGAAGACGGCUUCAAGACACAAAGCUUCUCAGUCGUAAGACUUUUUGAUUAUGUAUGUUCUACAAUAAAGCCUGUGUGAUCUAGGAUUAACGUAGGAAGACGUUUAGAAGUUGUGUAUGUGGAAGGAAAGGCAUGCCUGUGUGUCUAUUGCUUUACUUGACAGAUGUCGCAGCCUUGUCUUGUGGAAAAGUGAAUCUUGGGCAACAGGGUUUUCAGCAGGUGUAAGGUAAGCAAAUGAUCUUGCUUGAAUAGUUUCAGGAUCCACACAGAUUGAGAGGAGCAGCAAAGAAAGUGAAGAAAAAAAUUUGUACCAUCUUAUGUCGGAAGACAUUUGGAAGUUGUGUUUGCGGAAGGAAAGGCCUGUGUGUCUAUUGCUUUACUCGACAGAUGUCGCAGCCUUGUCUUGUGGAAAAGUGAAUCUUGGGCAACAGGGUUUUCAGAAGGUGUAAGGUAAGCAAAAUGAUCUCGCUUGAAUGGUUUCAGGAUCCACAAAGAUUUAGAGGAGCAGCAAAGAAAGUGAAGAAGAAAGUGUGUACCAUCUUAUGUAGGAAGACAUUUGGAAGUUGUGUUUGCGGAAGGAAAGAAAGGCCUGUGUGUAUUGCUUUACUCGACAGAUGUCGCAGCCUUGUCUUGUGGAAAAGUGAAUCUUGGGCAACAGGGUUUUCAGCAGGUGUAAGGUAAGCAAAAUGAUCUCGCUGGAAUGGUUUCAGGAUCCACACAUAUUGAGAGGAGCAGCAAAGAAAGUGAAGAAAAGAGUUUGUACCAUCUUAUGUAGGAAGACAUUUGGAAGUUGUGUUUGCGGAAGGAAAGAAAGGCCUGUGUGUCUUUUGCUUUACUCGACAGAUGUCGCAGCCUUGUCUUGUGGAAAAGUGAAUCUUGGGCAACAGGGAUUUCAGCAGGUGUAAGGUAAGCAAAAUUAUCUUGCUUGAAUAGUUUCAGGAUCCACACAGAUUGAGAGGAGCAGCAAAGAAAGUGAAGAAAAAAGUUUGUACCAUCUUAUGUAGGAAGACAAUUGGAAGUUGUGUUUGCAGAAGGAAAGGCCUGUGUGUCUAUUGCUUUACUCGACAGAUGUCGCAGCCUUGUCUUGUGGAAAAGUGAAUCUUGGGCAACAGGGAUUUCAGCAGGUGUAAGGUAAGCAAAAUGAUCUUGCUUGAAUAGUUUCAGGAUCCACACAGAUUGAGAGGAGCAGCAAAGAAAGUGAAGAAAAAAGUUUGUACCAUCUUAUGUAGGAAGACAAUUGGAAGUUGUGUUUGCGGAAGAAAAGGCCUGUGUGUCUAUUGCUUUACUCGACAGGUGUCGCAGCCUUGUCUUGUUGAAAAAUGAAUCUUGGGCAACAGGGUUUUCAGAAGGUGUAAGGUAAGCAAAAUGAUCUUGCUUGAAUGGUUUCAGGAUCCACAAAGAUUGAGAGGAGCGGCAAAGAAAGUGCAGAAAAAAGUUUGUACCAUCUUAUGUAGGAAGACAUCUGGAAGUUGUGUAUGUGGAAGGAAAGGCCUGUGUGUCUAUUGCUUUACUCGACAGAUGUCGCAGCCUUGUCUUGUGGAAAAGUGAAUCUUGGGCAACAGGGUUUUCAGCAGGUGUAAGGUAAGCAAAAUGAUCUUGCUUGAAUGGUUUCAGGAUCCACAAAGAUUGAGAGGAGCAGCAAAGAAAGUGAAGAAAAAAGUUUGUACCAUCUUAUGCCUUCUCUAUCAGAUCCCUUCAAGACACAAAAUAUCGGACCUUUGCUGCCUAGGAAGACCUUGAUUAUAGUUGUUGCCUUUGAACCUUGAGACUCGUCAAUCAUUGAGACGCAAAGGGUUUGGACAGAAAACACUGUUAAUUUGAAAUGUAUAGGGUGAAGGGAAAGUUGUCUCUCUGCUUUGUGUUUCACAGGUGGCAGACCAUUAUGACCCGAGUCAGUCUUCGAGAGGUGUGUUUUUUUUCUUAUUGCUUUCAUGACUGUUGCAACAAUGUAUUUGGAUAUGGUGGUAUCUCUUGUGAACAUUUUAACCCAUCAGGUACAUAGAAGACGGCUUCAAGACACAAAGCUUAUCAGUCGUAAGACUUUUUGAUUAUGUAUGUUCUACAAUAAAGCCUGUGUGAUCUAGGAUUAACGUAGGAAGACGUUUAGAAGUUGUGUAUGUGGAAGAAAAGGCCUGUGUGUCUAUUGCUUUAGUCGACAGAUGCCGCAGCCUUGUCUUGUGGAAAAGUGAAUCUUGGGCAACAGGGAUUUCAGCAGGUGUAAGGUAAGCAAAAUGAUCUUGCUUGAAUAGUUUCAGGAUCCACAAAGAUCGAGAGGAGCAGCAAAGAAA